GAUUUCAGGAGCUGAGGGAGACAGAGAAUAUACUGGGCUUAUAUGGUCAUAUACAUAUACAUGUAAUAUGCAUAAACUGUACAUGUAUACAUGUAAUUUUACAUAUACAUGCAAUUAUGUAUUUAUUGUUACUGAUUAUUACUGUCUAAAUGUAUUUUUUUCCUGUCUAAAUGCAUGUGUUGUGAUUUAUCGAUCGUUCUUUUAUGCAAAUUAUCUGCAUAUACAGAGGUCAUUAAUAUCAGCAUGGAUAAGUAGGUUGUUCUGACAGAGGGUUUAUGUAUACGUUAACAUGAUCCUGCAAUCACAGUUUGGGCAUUUGCCUUUUCUCAGGCGUGCCUGUAAUGCAAAUCAAGUGCUGCUUUAUUGCAUAGCAUGGAGCGACAAGGUCGCUUUAAUAGAGUGGUCAGCGUUUCUGCAGGGACCCAGGUCCCUUAGAUACAUUCCACUCCUUAAUUAAAAUCCUUAUUUGCCGGUCAUGCACAGACAAGACGUGCGUUUAUACUGGUCUUACGGUGCCCAGCAGCACAGGCUGUCAUGGGAUGUAAUCUGGGAUGCCACUGCGCUGCCACCUCUUAAUUCAACAUGCAGAUGGAUCGAUUAACAGCACUCAGCUACAGCGGAGCCGGCCUUCCCACGACUCAGAGACUCAUAGCCACGUUAUCUGCCUGCGAGUGACCCCAGGAAACCAUCAAAACAAGAGUGACAGCUGGCAAUUUCAAUGAUCAAGACUUUAGUUGCAAAAUUGACAACUUUCAGGAAGGUCAGCUAUCAUAUGCAAAUCCUACACCAUACAGGAGAUGUUCCGAAUUGCUGUCUUUACAGUAGGGGGUCAUAUGGAAACAUAAUAUGUGAGAAUUAAAACAGAUAUUGGAAAA